rnacentral:rRNA from 1 species
GAUGAACGCUGGCGGCGUGCCUAAUACAUGCAAGUCGAGCGAACAGACGAGGAGCUUGCCUCUUUUACGUUAGCGGCGGACGGGUGAGUAACACGUGGGUAACCUACCUAUAAGACUGGGAUACCUUCGGGAAACCGGAGCUCAUAUCGGUUCAUAUUUCGAACCGCAUGGUUCGAUAGUGAAAGAUGGCUUUGCUAUCACUUAUAGAUGGACCUACGCCGUAUUAGCUAGUUGGUAAGGUAACGGCUUACCAAGGCAACGAUACGUAGCCGACCUGAGAGGGUGAUCGGCCACACUGGAACUGAGACACGGUCCAGACUCCUACGGGAGGCAGCAGUAGGGAAUCUUCCGCAAUGGGCGAAAGCCUGACGGAGCAACGCCGCGUGAGUGAUGAAGGUCUUCGGAUCGUAAAACUCUGUUAUUAGGGAAGAACAAACGUGUAAGUAACUGUGCACGUCUUGACGGUACCUAAUCAGAAAGCCACGGCUAACUACGUG